UACAGAGGGCUCAAGCGUUGUUCGGAUUCAUUGGGCGUAAAGGGUGCGUAGGUGGCGUGGUAAGUCGGGUGUGAAAUUUCGGAGCUUAACUCCGAAACUGCAUUCGAUACUGCCGUGCUUGAGGACUGGAGAGGAGACUGGAAUUUACGGUGUAGCAGUGAAAUGCGUAGAGAUCGUAAGGAAGACCAGUGGCGAAGGCGGGUCUCUGGACAGUUCCUGACACUGAGGCACGAAGGCCAGGGGAGCAAACGGG
rnacentral:rRNA from 1 species